ACGCACUCUGGCGGCAUGCCUGACACAUGCAAGUCGCACGAGACCUUCGGGUCUAGUGGCGCACGGGUGCGUAACGCGUGGGAACCUGCCCUUAGGUUCGGAAUAACUCCCCGAAAGGGGUGCUAAUACCGGAUAAUGUCUUCGGACCAAAGAUUUAUCGCCUUUGGAUGGGCCCGCGUUGGAUUAGCUAGUUGGUAGGGUAAAAGCCUACCAAGGCGACGAUCCAUAGCUGGUCUGAGAGGAUGAUCAGCCACAAUGGGACUGAGACACGGCCCAGACUCCUACGGGAGGCAGCAGUGGGGAAUAUUGGACAAUGGGCGAAAGCCUGAUCCAGCAAUGCCGCGUGAGUGAUGAAGGCCUUAGGGUUGUAAAGCUCUUUUACCCGGGAUGAUAAUGACAGUACCGGGAGAAUAAGCUCCGGCUAACUCCGUG
rnacentral:rRNA from 1 species